UGUUACGUGUAAUGUGUGUAACUUCAAUUAAAUUAAUUUCAGUAUUUAGAAUGUAGUUGUUAUGGAUAAUAUACAGAUUUUGACACAAUGUGAAGACGACACGUGCUGUUGCUUAUCCGAGAGAAGCACUGCAGCGCUUAUAUCCAUCAUUUGUUUGAUAUCAUGCAUCUUAGAGUUGGCGUUUAGUGACAAAACAUUGGAACCAUGCUGUGAGAUGAAAGAUCACUUGGAUUCGCUGAAAUAUGUCUUGCUUACAUUAUUUAAAAUAGCAAACAUAUUGCUUCUAUUGGGCUCCAUUUUUGAGAGUUCGUUGUUACUACAGAUCUAUUUAUGGUACUUACUCGGCUAUAUCAUAGUCAGCUUUGUGGUCUUGAUCAUUGAUUUGUGUUUCCGUAUCAAGAACGAAGGACCCUGGACCUUUGUGACAUUUGUACCAGAUGUCGUAUUUCUAUUUGUAAUAUUCCGAUGCCUUCCACUUGUGGACUAUUACAAGAAACACCUUGAAAAACUUCAAGCU